ACCUUUGUCCAAUCUCUGAUUACAGGACUGUGACUAGUUGCAACAUUAAAAAGCAUAACUGGGCCCCAAUGUCUAUGGGGUUGUGUUAUCCAUGGUCACCAUCUUCUGAAUGACAUCAAGCUUUGGUAUUGAUUGUAAAUUUAGUCCAAUUUGAGAUCACUGAUGGGAAUUU